rfam:Ixodes scapularis strain Wikel colony gcontig_1108378922994, whole genome shotgun sequence.
AUUCUUCCGAGUUUCAAUGGGGAGUGAUGAGUCGUGGGUGUUCAUGCCAAUGCGUGAUACGUGCGACGCCUUGAUUGUUACGACGAUUGCACGUGACCCCUCUGACC